UACGAAGGGUGCUAGCGUUGCUCGGAAUUACUGGGCGUAAAGCGCACGUAGGCGGUCUUUUAAGUCGGGGGUGAAAUCCUGGAGCUCAACUCCAGAACUGCCUUUGAUACUGAGGAUCUUGAGUUCGGGAGAGGUGAGUGGAACUGCGAGUGUAGAGGUGAAAUUCGUAGAUAUUCGCAAGAACACCAGUGGCGAAGGCGGCUCACUGGCCCGAUACUGACGCUGAGGCACGAAAGCGUGGGGAGCAAACAGG
rnacentral:rRNA from 1 species